rnacentral:rRNA from 1 species
UAGGGAAUCUUCCGCAAUGGGCGAAAGCCUGACGGAGCAACGCCGCGUGAGUGAUGAAGGUCUUCGGAUUGUAAAACUCUGUUAUUAGGGAAGAACAAACGUGUAAGUAACUGUGCACGUCUUGACGGUACCUAAUCAGAAAGCCACGGCUAACUACGUGCCAGCAGCCGCGGUAAUACGUAGGUGGCAAGCGUUAUCCGGAAUUAUUGGGCGUAAAGCGCGCGUAGGCGGUUUUGUAAGUCUGAUGUGAAAGCCCACGGCUCAACCGUGGAGGGUCAUUGGAAACUGGAAAACUUGAGUGCAGAAGAGGAAAGUGGAAUUCCAUGUGUAGCGGUGAAAUGCGCAGAGAUAUGGAGGAACACCAGUGGCGAAGGCGACUUUCUGGUCUGUAACUGACGCUGAUGUGCGAAAGCGUGGGGAUCAAACA